rnacentral:rRNA from 1 species
AUGCCGCCACGGUCUCGCCUCGACACCGAGCAUUGUCGAGCUCCAGCUCCUUGUGAUGGUCUGAUGGAAUCCCAGCUCCCCUCCAAGGUGCUUCACCGCAGGUCCUGGGCAUCGGUCGUUUCCGCUCACGCCGAGUCGGCAAUCCCAUCUGAUGUACUGCUUCAGUCCACUCUAGCAGCCCAGGCUGAGCUCCUGUUGCGCGUUGGGAGCUUUCUAGAGCGAGCGGAGGCUGCUCUGGGAAAGCUCUCUCUUGUGUUGGCUAUUUUGCAAUCCGCUCCUACGCCACAUCCUCCUAGUGAGGUUGAUGUUGGUGGCUCAGUGGGGAAGAAGGUUGCGGAGCUCUAUAGUUGUUUCUCCCCUAGAGCUAUGGAUAACUCAUCAUCGCCGUCUGCCUUGCCCACUAUGAUGUCUACCGCUGAGGGCGGGAUCAUUGUCGUGGAUGUGCCUCCGGUGCUGCAGGUGAUGCCCGAGCUUCAAGUGUUAUGUGCGAGCUCUGAUUCGCCUCUAUCAGUGGAGCAUAUGAUGGUGGACACGCAGGCAACCACGUGUGAGGGACAUGAUUCAAGCUUGACAUGUGAGCUGGGUGAGGUGAACUCACCUGCGCGCUCACAUGUGGCUUCUGCACCCAUUCCACCCCCACCGACGAAUAAUUCCAAUGCUCUCUUUGCAAAAGAGCUUUGUGACUUGCUCGCUAGCGUGGAGACUGUUAGCCCUGGAACUGGAAGGGCGAUUGCUUGCCUCCUGACGGGAACGACAUUCAAGGGCAAAUACAAGAAGGCGAGUGAUUGCCCUCGGACCGGUAUAGUGAAGGAGAAGUCACUAAGGUGCAAAGGCAAGAAGAGCUCAUCCUCACGGUUUGGGUCGUCAAUGUGGUUUUGGCAUGGUCCACUAUCUUUUGUCGGAUGUUUUUGUCGGGUUCAAAAUUGUGGUGUACAAGCAUGA